rnacentral:rRNA from 1 species
CACGUAGGGCGCGAGCGUUGUCCGGAAUUAUUGGGCGUAAAGAGCUCGUAGGCGGUUUUGUCGCGUCUGCUGUGAAAACCCGAGGCUCAACCUCGGGCCUGCAGUGGGUACGGGCAGACUAGAGUGCGGUAGGGGGAGAUUGGAAUUCCUGGUGUAGCGGUGGAAUGCGCAGAUAUCAGGAGGAACACCAAUGGCGAAGGCAGAUCUCUGGGCCGUAACUGACGCUGAGGAGCGAAAGCAUGGGGAGCGAACAGG